GCUUUUCCUUCAAGGCUGGAGGAUCCUUUCUUGCCUCUUCUGGCUUCUGGUGAUGCUGGGAUCCUUGGAGUUCCUUGGCUUAUAGAUGCCUCGCUCCAAUCUCUGCCUCUGUUGUCACAUGGCUGUUUCUCCCUGUAUAUUUCUCCUCUUAUUAGGAGGACACCAGUACUGGCCAGGCACGGUGGUUCACGCCUGUAAUCCCAGCACUUUGGGAGGCUGAGGCGGGUGGAUCACUUGAGGUCAGGAGUUCAAGGCUAGCCUGGGGAACAUGGUAAAACCCUGUCUCUGCUAAAAAUACAAAAAAUUAGCCAGGCGUGGUGGCAGGCGCCUAUAAUCUCAGCUACUUGGGAGGCUGAAGGAGGAGAAUCGCUUGAACCUGGGAGGUGGAGGUUGCAGUGAGCCGAGAUGGUGCCAUUGUACUCCAGCCUGGGUGACAGAGCAAGACUCUGUCUCAAAAAAAAAAAAAAAAAGAAAAAAAAAAAAAAAAGAAGGACCCCAGUCAUUUUGCAUUAAGGUCCUACCUUACUCCAUCUAGUAUAACCUUGUCUUAACUAGUACAUCUGCAGUGACCCUAUUUCCAAAUAAAGUCACCUUCUGAGUUACUGCGAUUUAGCACUCCAACAUAUCUUUUGGGAAGAUACAAUUCAACCCAUAACAAUUGAUCCUCUUCUCCCCUACCCCCUGAAAUAUGUGUCUUUCUGAUGUGCAAAAUACAUUCACCCUAUCCCAACAUCCCCCAAAGUCUUAACCAUUCCAUUAUCAACUCUAAGUCUAAUAUCUCAUCUAAAUGAGCCAUAUGCGUGUGCACAGACACACUCUAUACUGUAUCAGAUUUCCACUGAGCUGGGAAAAAAGCAGGAGGAGCAGUGGGCACCAGAGAGAGGCAGAGGUGGGAUGGCUGAGGAGUUCAGUUUUAAAUGUGUUGAAUUAAUAGCUCUCAUGGGAUACCAAGUGAAACCGCUAGCAGGUAGUUGGGUA
rnacentral:lncRNA from 1 species